UUAUUUGACAUACUCUCCUUAUUUGACAAACCUAUAUAAAGCCUCCUUAUUUUUCAUUUCUCUCUCUUCACAUGUUCAGCCAAAACAAACCCGUCGUUCCUUGCCCUAUUUCUCUCCAAAAUAAAACUGGCGAUAGCUAGAAAAAUUGCACCAAGCAACACGGAGAGGUUGAAUUAGAGGAAUCAAAGGGAAAAUGCCUAGAUCUCGACUUCGAUUACAGCUGUAAGAUUUCUAGGUUUCAGCUAUUUGAGUUUUUUCAAUGGGUUUAUUUUUUAAGAGGAAUCUAGUUUUUAUUUUGGGGACUUAACCUUUAGUUCGAAUGAAUUCUCUUUUUUUCGGCGCCGAUAAACUGUAUAAUCAUAUCAUAUUCUAAAGUGUGGGCGUUCAAGGUUUGAAACCGUUUGGGUGAAUUCUGAGACUUUUGGUUUAUGUUUAAUUAAUAAUUAUUAAUUUUAUGGACUUUUGGUUUCGAUUAGAUAGCUUUUUGAUUUUUAUGUCUAUAUGAAGUUAAUCUGUUUAGCUUUAGCUUUAGAUGUGAACUCUCUGUUGGGACGGAAGGUUUAAUUAUUGAAAUCAUAUAUGUAAAUUACAGUUUAGAAUCGAUUACUUUUGUCUCAAAAAAAAUUAGCAACUCUUUGAAAGUCUAGUGAAUAUUAAUAUAAAUAGAUUAUGUUCUAUUAUCUUAAAGAUAAUAUUAAAAAAUAUUCUAUAAAAUUAAAAAAACAACUUUAAAAACUAAUAUUUUUUAUUUUCCUGACCAAAUAUGACUAAUUUUAGUGAAAGUAGGGAGUAUUUGUCAAAUCAAACAAGACUAUUGGCUAAAAAAAUUGCUUUAACUCCUAUUGUUUAUAAGAAAGAACAAAAGAGGAGGAAAAAAGAACAAUAUAAGAAGUAAAAAAAGGAUGCACUUUCUAGCAGCCAACAUAGAAGAUUAUUAAAAUUAAGCGUGUUUUGGGUACUUGGCCUGGCUGUAUGAGGGAGUAGCAACCAGUUUGACCGGAUCUUAGGAUAUUCAUCUAACAUUUUACUCCAUUCUCAUCCAUAUGCUAAACAGAUGCAAACAUUUAGAUUUGGAGAGAAUUUGCUAGUUCUGAGAUUAGAAGAAAUCACUUGUUCGUGCAAUCAAUUUUCGGUAAGUCUUCAUCAAUGACUUUCAUGCCUGCUACAAAUAUAUUUUUAUCUAGUUCUUCUGAAUCUCUUGCUAGUUUAGAUUAUAAAAAUGAAUUAGAGUAUGUUAAUGAUGUUGAAAAUAGUAGUAAAGAGAACAGUUCCUUAUGUUGGUCAAUUGUUUUCUAAAUUGGAAUAAGCUAAUUUUUUUUAUAGAUCCUAUGUCCAAAAAAAUGGAUUUGAGAUUAGGAUUGCUACAAGUCAUAAAUAUGCUCACAGUAAUGAUUUGACGUCAAGGUUAUAAUAUGUAUGUAAAAAAGGUCGUAGACCAACUGUUGUAAAGACUUCAUUAGAUGAUGAAUGUGAUAACAAUAAGAAAACAAGACAACGAGACUCAAUUGGCCGAACAUUAUGCAAGGCUAAAAUGUAUGUUGUCCACGAUAAGAAAGAAGAUAAUUGGCGUAUUUUAGUUAUUGAGUUGGAUCACAAUCAUCAUUUAGUGACAUCUACCAAGUAGAUUUGAUUGAGACACAUAGAAAUAUUACGCCGGUAGAAAAAAAAAUUAAUUAACACAUUAAAUAAGGCGGAUAUUGGACCAAGUAGGAUGAUGAAAGUUUUGAGCACAAUGGGUAGAGGGAUGGAAAAUGUAGGUUUUAGUGACAAGGAUGUUCGUAAUGUAGUUAGGGAUUUAAGGCGUGACUCGAAGGAUGAAAAUGAUGCACAAGCUGUAGUCACUUAUCUGAAAAAAUUUAGUUUUAACAGUGCGAGUAAAUUCUUCUUGUCAAAUCAGGCGAAGACAAUCACAUAGCUUGUAUUUUAUGGGUAGACUCCAGAUCAAUAUUUAUGUAUCAAUAUUUCAGACACGUGGUUAGAUUUGACACUACGUAUAAGACAAAUAGGUAUAAUAUUCCAUUUGUUCAAUUUACCGGGGUCAACCACCAUUAUCACUCUAUUUUAUUUGGAUUUGCACUUUUAAGAGAUGAGACAAAAGACACUUUCAUUUGGGUAUUAGAUAUGUGGCUUGAAGCCAUGGACUACAAGGCUCCUGUAACCAUUAUAACUCACAAAGAUAAAGUCAUGAGCAAUGUUAUUGGUAGGGUACUCCCAUCCACUCAUCAUUUAUUGUGUUCUUGGCAUAUUAACAAUAAAUUUUCAAAACAAUUGCAUUAUGUUUAUGCAGAACACCCAUUUAAAGACGAUUUUAACAAUUGUGUCUAGAAUUCAUUGUCCAUUGGUGAGUUUGAAGAGAGUUGGGAAAUCCUUAUGAGAGAAUAUGAUUUGUCUCAAAAUGACUAAUAAUUUUGUAUGAUGUGAAGGAGAUAUGGAUAAACGCAUAUAAAAAGAGAUAUUUUGUUGCGGGAAUGACAACCACCGAAAGAAGCAAAGGUAUGAAUCAUUUUUUUGAUUUAUAUGUGAAUGCUUCAACAUACAUGAAAGAUUUUAUAGUUAAGACUCAGAAGGCUAUUGAGAAACAAUCCAUCAAAGAAAGAAAGGCUGAUUACGUAACAAAACAUUGAAAACAUAGUUUGGUUUUAGGAUCAGCGUUGGAAGUGCAUGCUUCUGAAUGUUAUACAAAAGAGAUGUUUAGAUGUUUUUAAAAGAGCUCGUGGAUUCUUUAAAGUAUAACAUAAAAAAAGUCAGUGAGUUAUGCCUUAUUAAUACAAAGGUCUAUACAGUGUAUGGGGUAGAUGCAAUCAGAAAUAGUCGGAGAUAUCUGUAAGUUGUCAAUAAUCGUUAAGGAGGUCGCUAACAUGUACUUGUUAAAUGUUCUCACAUUCUGGUUCAAUUUGUAGGCACAUACUGAGAUUCUUAAGCUUUAAGAUUAUUGCACAAAUACUUGCUGACAUGAUCGUUCCUCGAUGGACAAGAGAUGCUAACAGGAGUAAUGGUUAAGAGGAAAUGGUUUCUCCAAUGAGUCCUGACUUUGAAAAAAAAUCAAGCAAUGUGGUACAAUCAUUUGAUGAGUGAUUUUCAAGAGUUAGCUAGUAAAGUUGCUUGCUUAGUUCGAGGCUACAAGGCAAUACUAAAAUAAAAUGCACGAGGAAAAGCCCUUGUUGAUUAAUAUGACCCGAAUGAGAAUAUUACAGACAUACUAGACAAUGAUAAUGACCGUGCAAAAGAAUAUGCAACUCAUGAGAUAAGAUUGCAGGAUUAUAAGGAAGAGGAUGAGGUUAAGGAGGAAGAACAAGAGUAUUUGUCACCAAUUACUUCUCAAAUAAAGGGCCAAAAUAAAUAAUCAAGAUUCAAAAGUGCCUUUGAAAAAAUGGUGGGUAGUAAUUNNNNNNNNNNNNNNNNNNNNNNNNNNNNNNNNNNNNNNNNNNNNNNNNNNNNNNNNNNNNNNNNNNNNNNNNNNNNNNNNNNNNNNNNNNNNNNNNNNNNAUACUUUAAAACUUUUUCCUUUUCUUUUCUUUCUAAGUGAUUAGCAGAUAGUAGAAUCAAUUCAUGCACAUCGGAAUAGGUUAAGAUCCCAUUCAAGAAUGUAGCAUUAAACAUAAUUCUAAUAUUGGAUUAGUUGCAAGCAGUUAUAGUACUGAAUGUAAAUGACAUAAAGUAAAUAACACAAGGGGUUUUAAGUGGUUCAAAGACUAAAUACUCCUACUCUAGUCUUCUACUUCAACAAGAAGGGAUUCAACUAAGGAUUUGCUCAAUUCUCUAAAUCAUAAAGAUUCCUUCAAGACUCGCAAUCAUAGAACUUCUAGCAUACUAAUUCUUCUGCAAACUGGCAACCUUGGAACUCAUUCACUAGUGACUCUUCCAGACCAGCAGCUUUGGACAAGCAGCCCAAUAAGAACUCUUUUAGAUCCACAACUUCAGAUGCUUAGUCCUACUCAGAACUAUUCCAGACCUGCAAUCUUGGAAUUAUAGACUAAGCCCAGCAGACUUAGAAUCUCUUGUACCCUCCGGUUCUAAGCAUGCCUUUAGUCACUAAGACAAGGACCCCUCAGGACUUGGAUGCUUGGAUGGAUCAUUGUUGUUGCUGCUUUGUUGAGCCCCUAAGAUAACGUUCAAAAUUUUCAUUUCUGGUACUUAGCAGCUUCUUAUGAUCGUAUGGUAUUCAGUAUUGAUACUAGAGCAAAACUGAUAGACUGCUAAGAUGUACAUUCAACUUGACAUCUUGUUGUACUUAGCAGUCUGACUCUUCCCUUGGUCCUGCUAUUCUUUGUUAUUGAUGCUUGUCUUCAUCUGAUAUUCAACAUUGCACACCAUCACCAUUGAGGUACUGCUAAGUCUUGCAUAUCAGCUCGACUUCUUUUGGUACUUAGAAGUCCUUGAACACUGGUUAUCUUGUGCACAGAUUCGACUCUGUAUUUCAUCCCUUUAGUUCUUAAUGUUCAUGAUAAAACGUAGAGUGGCUCUUGAGGUCUGCUUUCUAAUCUACCACCCUAGUUCUUAUCUUCUUGGCCUUUUGGCUCUCAGUAUAGAUGCCACUCUAUUGGCAUACUCCUUUUUAUUAAGUGAGGCUUUUAGCAGUGUAAGGCUCUCAUUUGAUGUGCUUUACUCAUUCUAUGGUAGUCUCACUCUCACUGAAACUUUAUCUCUAUUAAGCUCUACAUGACUCACUUCAUCGUAUGUCAACACUUUAUCUCUUUGAAUUUUCAGCUCUUUAUAGGUUCAUCCAUCAUCUUUCCGUUGGAACAUAGUCGUUGGGAGUUUUCCGUUGAAGUCUUUCUUUGGAGCAUUUAAUGCUUCAGAUAUUCUAAGAUCUUUGAUGAUGGCAUUCUGGGUUGAUGUGACAACUCCUUUUUGACUUGCUUGGCACAUCAGUCUGCUUUUUCACCUAAUAUCUCUGAAAUAUCACUUUCAGCAGACUAGUUGGUAGUCAUCUUUUUAUUUUCUUCUCUUUCCUCGAUUUAGACUAAGGAUGUUGGUGAGUACAUUGGGAUAUUUAAUUAGCAACAUUUGGAUGUUGGUCUUCAGUGUUAGACAUUACAAAGUCUCAAUAACCAGAUUAAUGAACUCUAGGAUUCUGAUGCUGACGUUCAUGUACUUGGUCGUAGUUUGUCUGUGAAAAUCGUAGGGUGACUUAACCUUGACAUCUCUUAUGAUUCCAAAAAUGCUUAAUGUUGUGCCAUCUUGUACUUAGCUCUUGCAGUUUGAUCUAUGAUCAUGCUUGUCUGGCCUUGCUUUAGGAACUAAUAAGUUGACUGACUUCUUUGGCUAGUUGGUUUGCAUGUCUCUUUUGAUUAGUCAUGCUCAGCUUCCUUAAAUUUUAGCCUUAUGAUCUCUUGAUCAUACUUCAUGGUGACACUGAGCAUUGACAUCCUCCACGUUUUUCCUCUGUUUACUAAGUGGCAGGUUUACCAUUAUCUCUGUGGUUUAUUUAUCAGACUCUUCUGCUGUUUAGUAAACACUACGAUCGUUGUCUCUUAAUGAAUACUUAUAGGAUACUCCUUCUAUCUGGCUCUUCACUUCUUAAUCAGCCUUAUUGAUAUAGUUGGUGUUUUGAUCUUCUAUUUGUUUGCUGGCCAUUUAGAGAAUGCUUUAUGAUAUUCUUCAAGUAGACUGCAUUCUGAAGCUUGAGUGCUCUACGAUCUUGCUAUAGUUACUUAGAGAUAGCUCUACAAUUGCUCAGGCAGACUCUACGAUUCUGCACUUAGCUCUGUAAGUGAGACACCCCCAAAUCUGGGUACUUCAUUCCCACAUAAUUUGGUGUUCACUAUCCAAACAUUCAUUUCUAACUACCCAAAAUGUAAUAAAAUUUAAACAUUAACUCUUCCCAUUAAAGGGUUACAUAAUAAAAUCCGAUAAAUCGCAGGUCAUCUAACCUUAAAAAAAACAUUCAUCAAGUACAGAAAAUUAAUUAAUUACAUCACAUAACUAGAAUUAAGUCUGAAUAUAUAAUUUGAAAUAAACAACAAGUCUUUUCAACACUUGUUCAUCUUUCCUUUUCCUUUGCUAGUGGUUGGCUCAUCAACCUUCUCAAUUUUAGCUGCAAUGGUUAUAUAUAUGCAAGAGUGAGCAAAACAAAUGCUCACUUAAAGAUAACAUAAUAACUGGCAAUGCAUAAGCUUGACUGAAUUGAAUAACAUUUUCUAGUAGCAAUAAUCAAGAACUGAUUUUGAAAAUCAUCUGAGGGUCACAAGACUAUGAACUAUGUCCCAUGUUAUAAGUAUUUCUACUUGAACCUGUAAUAGUCCUUAGACUAUAUGGACUUCCUUCUCGUACUUAGGGGGAUCAACCAUUCGUACCAUGUAUUGUGCACGUACAUCAACUAAGGAUUAAUUGAAUCAAAAGUUUAAUGACAAUGCGAGGGUUUAAUAAGGACAUUUUAUAGAGUAAUAUGAACCAUAGAUAAAUAGUAUGAUACAUCAAAGUCAUGCUUUAAGAAUAAAUUUCAAAGCAUUAAAAAUAUAUAAUGAACCUAGCUUGAACAACAAUGAUAAGCUAAGGUUACAUUUUUCAAUAAGGAAACAAAAUUAAGAACUUUGCUCUAUAGAAUUCAAGAACUUGCAUAAUUUUAUAAACAAAACAGAAUAAAAAACUUGCAUAUUUAUAAACAAUAGGAUAAACUCAAAUAAAGAUUAGGGUUAGAGAAUUUUUUUAAAUAAGAGUAGGAUUAGGAAACUUGCCUCGUGCGUAGAUUAAACGAUCACUGCUCACGUUCACCACAAGUCCUACACAUACCAUAUGUAUUGACAACACUCACUAGUUACACUAAUAUUAACUUCAUGAGUUUAGUUCCCACUUUUAGUAUAGCUCGUUAACUUAGUUUAAGUUUUUUUAUUACUACCAAAAAUCACAUAUUACAAGACCGAAGUCUCGAAUCUUAAGUUUAAGCAACAUCACAUCUUUUCAUGAGCAUCACAUUUUAGCACUUUUACAACUUAUCAAAUUAUCAUGCCAUGUCAACAUAUGAACGUUAAUAACCUAAUAUAACAUCUUAUUACAUGUCCAACACAUUAUCAUGUUCCGUAUAUUAGGUUAGAUUAACACAUAAAUGACUGCACUUGCAUACGUGCAUCCCGACGACCACUGAUUGCCUCUGAGUGCACAUCAGUCAUAAAGAUGACCAUUGUAACCUUUACUAACGAUAUCAAACUGAAAAUCUUAAAGAACAAAAGUUGUAGGUCUACUCGUCCUCGUUCUGGAUCAUCUUGAAUCGCAUCAAUCGUAGUCUGUAUGAAAAAUUUAUCCCUAUUUUAGUAAAAUAUGUCUGGUUAGAUUUUCUCUAACACUUAGUCAGUCUGCCCACCCCCGCCGGGGCGGGGUUUUUGAGCUACAAAAGCCCUCCGGGGAGGGAUACCCGUUGGGGUGACACAAAAUACACUGGUAACGCCCGCCGGGGCGGGGGUACCUGAUAUCAGUUUCUGCAGUUCGUGAAAGAACACAACAGAAAGCCAAAUUAGGCCUUAAAAAUAAACUAAUGUUCCUAAAAUGUUUCUAACCAUAUAAAAAACAUAAACUUCCAAAUUACAACUUUUAAAUUCUAUGCUUUUACUAUUUCUUCACUUUUUGACAUUCUUAACAAAAUUAAUCACUGUGAAUUCGUUUUUCAACCAAAACAAUUAGUUUAAAUUACUUUGUUUUCGUUUCUUCAUGUAUUUUCACAAUCAAUAGUCAAUUUAUACUUUAUACUAAGAAUUGAGUAUCAAUUUUGAUUCUAAAAUAAGCCAUAUCAAAUUUACAUAUCUGUAUUUUUUUUUGUAAACAUAAUUUCUUCAAAUAUAUUAUACUUUCAUGGAUUAAACUACUCUAAAUCAUAUGUAAACCACAUAAAAAAAGUUUAUGUUUACUAAUUAACAUAUGUAAGCCAUAUUUUCAACAUUCAUAAUAGAAUUCAAAUUACAGAGAAAUAAAAUUAAGUUUUUCCUAUGAAGAACCAUAAUGAGAGUAAAUUGAUAGUUGAACGUUAGAUUACUACCUUAAAUUUCUUGUUUACUAAACAAAGAUGAUAACACCUUCCUUUAAUUAUCUCAAACUCACAAAGAACUCUUCUCUUCUUCCUUCUCUCUUUUCUCUCUAUAUAUUAUACGUAACUUAUAAAAACUGAUAUAUAUAAUAUAAACGUAUAACAUAUAAUGUAUUAAUAUAUAAUAUAACUGAUGUCAGUUACUUUUUCUUUUUAAAUUCACACUACAAAAAAAUAGGGCUUCAACAACAACCAAUUUUUCGUUGCUAAAGUGUCAAAUUUUGUUGCAAAAUGGUUUUAGCAACGACUUUAAUGUCGUUGCGUCUUUCGUUGCGCAAUGAGCGUUGCUAAUUGUUCCGCAACGAAUAUUUUUUUUUCGUUGCCAAAACUAAUACAUUUUGCAACGAAAUUUGGCUUUCGUAUAGAGACAUCGAUCCUUUAGCAACAAAAUGUAUUGUUGCAGAAUAAUUAAAAUUUCGUUGCUAAAAAUUCCAUUUCGUUGCAAAAGCCUGCUAAUUGGCAACGAAAUGAACUUUUUUUUUUGGCAACGAUCAUGCAUUUUUGUUGCAAUUGACACCAUUUUGCAACGAUAUUUUUCGUUGCGGUAAAUUAUGAAAAUUGUUGCCUAAGCUUGCUUUCGUUGCGGAAUGUAAACUUUUUAGUAACGAUUUUCGUUACUGAUUAUAUUAUUUGGCAUCGACAUUAUGCUGAAUCAGCAACGAAAAUAUUUAUUGCUGGUUAUUUUUCAAUAGCAACGAAAGUCGUCGAUUAGCAAUGACAUUAUAUGUUGCUGUUUCUUUAUAUGUGCAACGAAAGUUGAUAUGAUUUGCAACGAUAAAAAAUGUUGCCUUUUAUGUUAGUAUUAGCAACAAUAUUCUCUCUGUUGUUAUUAGGUUAAUUUUUCGUUACCAAAUAUUAUAUUUUUAAUGCCAUUAGCAACGAAAAUUUGUUGCUAAAUGUAUAAAAAAAUUGUUGCUAUAUUAAAACUUGUUCAAUGCUUUGGUAACGAAUUAUAUUGUUGCCAAAUCAAAAUUUGACAUUCUGUGUACCUGGCUGGCUCAAUGUCCCCAUAACAAAUAAUGGCAAUAGAGUUGCUACGUUGUACUAAUAUUAUUAAACCAACAGACUACCCACAAUAUUUAUUAAAUGGUUGAGCAUAUAGAAAGAUUCCAGAGUCCUUCAACUGGCUAAAUAAAAUGCCUUAAACAAGAUAACAUGAAGUACAUACUAGUUUGCCAAACAUACACAAGAUGGUACCAAGUGCAAUGUGCAUGUAUAAGAUUACAACAACUAUGACAAAGAUACACAUGCUCUAUGUGUCCAACUUUGAAGUAACUAUUAUGUGAAAAAAGCUAAAUCUUCUAUUACACUUGGCACACAGUUCUGUAUGCCUAUUUACACGGUUCUUGAUUUUUAUUUUGACAAACUCAAAAUUACUAAAUCUAGACAAACAGCAUGCAAUUUGAUACACAAUUGACAACAACAGGCAUAUUAAGUAAAUCACACUGUCAAGUGAGUAUACACGAAAGAUUAUUAAACUAAACAUCAAUAAAUAAAGCAUAAUUUAGGCUUAGAGGGCGUUCAAGAAACAGCAAGACCACACUAACAGAACAAAAAAAAGCUUCCAGUGACAAUUCUAGAACCGUGGCUCACUAAUCAAUAGCCAUGCACAUAGAGACGUGGAAGAAACAAAACUUUAAUCUAUCUCCUCAGCAGAUUAAUCUAGUCCCUACGUUAUAUGCUCUCUAGAAUUUGGAAGAUCUAUAAUGAAUGUAAUACAAUUUUAAGCCACAGGAAAACCAUACAAAACAUGUAAAAUGUAAUGAUCUCCUUAUAGAGAAUUCCGGGAGAUAUAUGAACACAGAAUGACUGCAGGAUUAAGAUCUCGUUGAUUGUUGAUUUCAUCAAUAUUGGUAUCUUCUGGAGUGUUGCAACCCAAUGCAACAGUAUUAGAAGAAUCUGGAGUUUGGUCAAAGGAUGGUUCACUCUUCUUAGCCUAUAAUCCAGUAUACUGCACAAGAUCGAUCCAUUGCUGCACCAAAUAAUAGACAUAAAGUUGGAUUAAUAUUAUUUUAUCCCAAAAAGAGAAAAGUUUAAAGGCUACAACUAAUCAAUGCCCAUCCUAUCAAUCUAGCACAACAUGAAAAAAACAUUGGUCAUAAACACUUUAUAUACCUCUUUCUCUCCUUCAACAAGUACACAAACUACAAUCACCUCAGCAACAUAAUUUAGGACACAAUAAUUGUGCUAUAGAUGGAAUAAUAUAUACAUAUAUAUGUAUAUAUAUAUAUAUAUAUAUAUAUAAGCUUUUAUGUGUGUGUGUGUAUUUAUAUAUGUAUCUCACAGUUAGUAAUAAUAUGUGUGCCAUUGAAUUCUUCACGCCAUCAUCUUUACCAGAAAUCGAAUUAAACAAGAAAGGAAAAAAACAGAAAAAGUUAUUUAGUAAGUAGAAGCAUCUAACUUAGGUUCCCUAAUAGGAGUUGAUUGUUCGGACAAUAAAAGAUAGCAUAUUUAUGAAAAAAUGUUUGAUCUAAAAAUUAGUCUGAAAUUCGAUGUUCCACUAUUCCAGAAAUAACCUACAUUGCAAGUGAUAUUAUUGUUAAAGUCAAGUACAUUGAUAAAAGCACCAAAAAUGUUAAUUUUAAAAUGCAUGCAAUAGUUAACUGCAAGAACAGUUCAAGAUUGUAGCUAUGACCAUUGACAUAUAAUUUUAGCAUCAAUAAACUAUGUCGCAUUUCUCACUAGAAAAGUAACCUCAGACAGGUAUAACAGAUGGCAAGAUAAACCUUUGGCUUAUCUUGGAACUUGAAAGGGGAUCCAAAAAGAAGAAGACUGAAAAAGGUGGACUAUAUUACUGCAAGCACUUUAUGGAAUAGACUAAAUAAAGUAGUUGCUGUAAGUUAGCAACACUUGGUCACAGCUCAUGCACAAAACUACAAAUCAAUAAAGUAGCUAUCAAGGUGCUUAAUCAUUUCAAAAAUUAACUGGGUAGUGCUUUAUAUCAACAUCUCAUCAACAGUUGAUCAAGCUCAUCUUUGUAGUAUUUCCCUUAAAAAUGUUUUUAUUAGUUGACCUUGGUUCAGUGAACGACCUUCCCAUAAGCCUCACAAAUAUGGAAGUUGUGCCAUAAGUUGUUGAUGCCUGUCGGUUAAUAUCCUAUGAUUACAAUGUAUUAUUUCAUCUUUACAAGAAUGACAAGAGAAGGUAUUGUCAUGAGUUAUCAAUGAUUGAUCUGGUUCAAAACCAAGGUAACCAUAUUACAUGGAAAUAGAAGCUUACGUUGAGCAUAAAGUACUAGCUCUCUACUUGAUACCGGAGAUUGACUGAUGUUCCAAGAAAGGCUCCAUAAACUGCUGCUGUUUUGAAGAUGGGUGAUCUUUUAUUCACUUGACUAUUGACAAGGGUCGGAUUAAGUAUUUUGCGCAUUGCAUACUAUAUAUUGGAGGCAACCACAGCUCCAAUGCUGGAAAUAACACCCGCACUACCAAGCUUCAAGCCACCAAUGAGCACUGAAGUAACUUUAUGACUCAAAUUCCAAUCCUUCCCAGCUAGAUUCUUCUAAAAUGCAUUAUCAGGAAUGGAGCCAAGAAGACCCUUUAGUGCUUCCAUGCUAUCAGGUACGUUAGCCUCACCAGCGAUUGAAAGAAAUGACAAUGUCGGAGCAGGAAGCCAUACGGUAAAUAAAUCAACAACAAUUCCCCUGGUAGUGUCUAUAAUAACAUAAUCAAUCUAUUCAAAGAAAUUUUCUUUACGCUUACCAUACUGUGCUAAGAGCAUUGUUGUUAUUGAUAUAGCUUCUUCUAUGGCUAAUCUAUGUAGAAACUUGGAAUCUGCUAAUAAUCUUUCUCUGAAACCCUGCAUCAAGAUAGCUACGGUCAACAUAUAACAUCUAUUAAAAUAAUCUCUAUUACCAAAUAAUAUACAUAUUCCAUCUCAAACACAAAAUAACGGAGGGAAAGAUGGAUAAUAUGUCUUCUGAAAAACACAUUUAACCUGGAAAAGGUUUAAAGAUGAACAUAUGUUCGUCUUACGGACAAUAUUUGAUUUACAGAAAACAAGUUUACCUGGAAACGAUGAGUGAGUUCUGAAAUAAGAGGAUAUUGCUCCAGAUUAAAAAACUUUUGAAGUACUUCUGGAGAUACCAGAACAAGAUCAAGUCCUCUCUGAAUGUCCUGAAAAGUAAGUUAUAAUGUUUAUGUCAAGAUUAAUUUGAUUGAAGUAAAAGCAUUCCAUCUUGUAUAAUCGUUUUUAAUUCAAACCUUAUUCCAUUAACAUAUUAAUUUUUUAAAAUAAAUCACAAAAUAAUGAUAAAGCAUACAAUAACAAAAUCAGGAUGUAUUAAGCUUGAUUAGGUAACAAUAACUAGUAGCUCUAGGGAAAAGUUUGAUUAGGUAUUAAGCUAUUGACAAGGAAACGGUACCAUGGAAACAAACCUGAUCACAUCUACAAUAAUUGCAAUACGAAGUAGAGGGCUUUUCAUAAAGAUGCAGUUGUAGGGGAUAUGUGUAUUAAAAAUAAAUUUAGCUUUUAUAAGAAGAAAGCAUAAAGUUUAUAUACAUUUAAAAGUAAUUCAAUUUGUAGAGAAUUUCACUGUUACUAAUGAUACAAUCACAUCAAUGAUCCAAAAAUAUCAAACCCACAAAAAAUAACCUUAAGUCAAUAAAAUUUUUAAAAUGUAUCACUUUGGGACGCCACAUACUAGAUGUUGGACAAAUAAAAGUCCUUAAAUCAAAUUUGUUACUAGUUAGCAAAAAUAAGACCCUUAUAAAUCACUUAUCUUAUUCCCACCUACUAGAUGUUGGACAGGAGCAUCACAGAGUUUCUAGAUCUUUUAAUGCAUGUCAGUCGCUAGAUUAUUAAAUGAGGAUGGUAAAAUGUCAUUGAAUGACCAGAUAUAACAGCUCAUAAGCAUUUCAUCAACAAAAUGGGUAAAAGUAAACUCCAGGAAAGCAAAACUAUGAUGAUACCAAGAUACAACAACAUAUAAGAAAUUUUCAAACACCAACAAACACUCCAGGAAAGCAAGAUUACACUAAAUAAAAAAAGAAGAUAGCUGACAAGAAAUAUGACAAAACUAGAUAUUAAAAGGACAAAUGCUUCACUAAAUACCUGGAUUUUACAAAAAAGAAACUUGUCAUUCUGACAAAAAGAGGCCAUAAAUCAGUUAUUCCAGAUGAAACAUGUUCAGUGGCUUCCAACUUAUUAUUUGAGGAACCAUUGGGUGCAUAUGACUUGGUUCGUGAGUAACUUCUUUCAGAUGGUUUUAAAAGGUCAAAAUGCACCUAACUAGAAAUGCAAUGGAUAAGACCUGUUCUGCAAUAUUCCAGGAAACAAAUCAAACAAUGAAGAACUAUUGAGACCCAAGAGAAACACUUAGAAAAAAAGAGCUAUCUAGGAAUAAAAUUACCACUAGCGUGACUUUUCAAAUAGUUGUUCUUACCUUUCAAAGAGUAACAUUAGGUUAUCUCAAGCGUUGGGAAAAGGUUCUUUAAUAGCCAGACUUCUAACACAGUGAUACAAGGCAAGGAAAUCAUCGCCAACUUAUGUUGCCAAUAACACCAACUACAAAUGGACUUAGAUAGUUACAAUAGCAUUAUUAUACAUUUCCAAACUUCACAAGUUAUUUCCUCCAGGCAACUAGUAGAGUGAAAGACGAUUAUGUUAUGAUAAGACAAAAAAUACCUGAUUUUGGGGAUAUCCACUAUCUGGACAAAUGAUUGCUGCUUCGAAGUAAUAGCUGGUUGCAACAGACCACUUACAGUUUCAAUUAUCAGAUUUUUGAUAAAGUUCCCUGUAUCUAGCAAGAUCCCCAAGACAAACUAACAAACGAUGACAUGUAUAUUGGCAUUUAUGAAAUUUUGUUGGUUCAACCAUAAAGGAGCUGUCAUCCUUGUUAUCCAGCAGCAGUUCCUCGUGAAGUCCACAACUUUUCAUAAAAGAUUGCUCCAUCCGAGCAGUCACCCUUUAAGACUGAUCUUUCUUGAAAGAGGGAAUAAUUAGUUCAAUGACCUUUCCAUGGACUGCCAAAUCAAGGGCCUUCAUAUAGACAAAGAAACGGCUGUACGGAUUCUCCAAUAAGUUGUACAGAUUGAACAUGCUGGAAGAAAAAGGGAAAAGAAAGAAAAUUAAAUGAGAUAAGGCUGCAAAAAUCUACGAGCUCAAAUGAUCACUAUCAAACUAAUUACAUUUUCAAAUGCAGUGCAGGCUUAUCAUGUGGCUGCUGGGUGAUUUUAGUGGAUAUUAGCUUAGCCAUCUCCAGUGCUUCAUCCAAACUGUCAGACUUCUUAACAAGAUUGCAAAUGACAGUGAAGACACAUUCAAGAUCUGGAUAAAAAUCAACAAAUAGCUUAGCUCGUAUCUCUAAUUUUUAAAAAGGUAUUGGAGAAAACAACAACCUGUAAAGAACAAAAUAUUAGGCUUUAGGAACUGCUGAGUCCUAUAGGCUAUGACAUAAUUAACAUAAAAGUAAUUGUACAGAAAAACAAAGAACAUAUUCCAAAAUGAUUAAUAAUGUGAUACAUUUAUGCAUAAAAAAUCCAAAAGUAGUCAUUGUAAGAGUUUAAGAUGAAUACUCUCUUGAUUAAUGUUAAUUUCUACAAGACGUAGUUUUCAAAUGGAAUGCAAGAAGCAAACAAUAAAAGCUGAUAUAGAAACCCAUAGUUUGAGCAGGAAGUUGGCAAAAAUAGUAAGACAUAAAAGAAACAGAAGUAAUGCAUUGUUUAGUGUCAGGAAACAUGUUUUAUAAAUGGAAAAGCAUCACUUAAAUUAUACUCAUCAGCGAGAAUUAAUAACUUCCUGAGAAAGCAAUGGAAUUUCUUGAAAACAAUAAAUUCCUUAACGCGAGCUUGAACCAGUACUACUCAACUCAAAACAACAUAAAAUUGUUGUACCAGUACUACUCAACUCAGAACAACAUAAAAUUGUGGUAGAGAUACGCGUAAGAAAAGUUGAAAACCUACUCUACUGUGACGCCCCCAGAAUAGGUAUACAUCACCCAUUCUGAGUUGUCAAAUAUAUGGUACAGAAAUAACUACAACUUUAUUAAUACAAUUGUCGUGCAAAAUACGACAACACUUAAACUGUGAGUUUAAAUACAAAUAUUGUCUUCUAGACAAUAUCCAUACCCAAAUAAGUCCUCAUUACAAUUAUUGAUACAUUAUUUUACAAAAAUGGUGAGGACUACUAAAACAACUUCUAGAACCAUCAUUCCAUACCCCGACUAGUACUCGCUACAUUCUCGCCUCCUGAGAAGAAAAAUGGAACAAAAAGGAAAAGGGUGAGCUCAACUAGCCCAGUAAAGAAUAUUAUGACUAAGAUAAUAUAGAACAAAUUAUCGUUAGUCUUCAACAGGAAAAAAUCUGAGAGAAUAUAAUAAACAACAAGUUUCAGAUCAAUAUUCGCAGCGGAAAUAAUAAUUCAUAGAAGAGUAACGUAGAGAAUGAAAUCUACUAUUAUCUAUGAAUUUAAAAGUUCAUCAACAAUAUUUUUAUCCCUGUAACAUCAAUUAAUACACAUCUUGAAUCAAAUAUUCAUCUUUGCACUAUAGGCCAAAGAUAUUCAUCAGUUAGUCAUGUUCAUCUCAACACCUAUUCAUCUUUGCACUACUGGCCAAAGAUAUUCAUCAUAAAAUCUUUAAUCUUUGCACUAUAGGCCAAAGAUAUUCAGUUAUAUCAUCAUUUAGGACUGAGGAUGAUGAAAAAUAUUUUAAAAAAAACGAAUCCAGUGAAACAAAAGAAUAAAUAUUAAGGAUUCGUAUUUCGAUUUAUCCAUGUCCAAAAAUACCUCAUAAAUAAUCAUAGUGGAGUAAAAUUCAAGAAUGAUCAAAACAUGGAUACAAUCAAAGCUAGUAUCCAUAAUAGAUAUUUUGGACGAAAAACGAAAAUUUAUUUUUUCUGUGAAUAGUGCCGUAUAUGUGAAUAGUAACUCCAACACUAAAAGACAAGAAUUUCACAAGAAAAAUACUCCCAAUAUUCCAGCAUAAUGAUAUUGAAAGAAAUAAUAUCAUUUUCAAAAAAAAUAAUAUCCCUUACCUCAAAAAGACAGUACUUCUGACUGAAAUACUGAAUAUAGUGCUGAAGGGAACUUGCACCGUAUAACAACACUCAAGGUAUCAAAAUACUCACAAGAAUACGCUCGAUAAUAUAGAGAGAGAAAGAGAGAAAACUUUAGUUUCUGGUGUGAUUUUCAAUUCUAACCUAAGCACCCUAUUUAUAGGAAAAUGCUUAGAACACCAAAGCAGAAAAUUUAAUAUAAUAAUAAUAUAAAUUUUCUCAACUAUCUACGAACACCACUAGACCACAACAUCUGUAAAAUCCCAAAUUUUACGAAUAAAUAUUUAAAUUUAUUGAAUUUUUUUUUGAAUAUUAUGGUGUGGAUUUAAUAUAAUGUUAUAGUUGGGUAAUAUUUAUAAAUUUUGUAAAGUAUGCAAGUUGUUAUAUUAUAUUCGAUUAGUCGGGGAAUAUUCUUUGUGUCGGGGAAUAUUCGUACGACGACACAAUCAUUGGUGGACCCCACAACGGAAUUAUUGUCGGAUUGAGAAAUCGACAAAAAUAUUUUUAUGAAAAUAACGGCGGAAGUUUUACCGUUAAUACUGUUGAACUACUCGGUAGUAAAAGUACAGUAAUACGCGUGGUUGCAUAGUAGCACACGAUUUUGAUUAUUGAUGCUUACGUGAGAAGUCAUUCAGUUAUACUCAAUUAUUGCUACAGUAAUUGCUGCAUCAUAUCUCUCAUAUUAUUGAUUCGAUUAUUGUCAUAGUAUCAUCUGCAUAAUAUGUUAUUUUAUUAAAUCAAUAAUUGAGACGACAAAGUUAUUCAUAUUAUUAAAUUGCAAUAUUUACAAUGUCUAGAAGUUCUGUCAAGGAGAGGUUUGGUCACCUAAUUGCGCGCCAAUAGGGAGAAAUCCUUAUUGGAAAGCCCCCUCUUUCCUGGGAACGACCUGGUUGAUAAAUAUUGUGAGUUAUAAUAUUAAUGAUGAAUGUUAUUAAAAUUGAAGUUGUGUUCGGAGUUGAAUUUGGAGACGCGGACGUGAUAUUUGAGUCCGGAACGAUGAAAUUAGUAAAAAUAGUCUAUAAACACAAAAUUUUCCGGAAUUCACUAUUUGGUCAAAAAGUCAACAGUUGACUUUUUCGGGAAAAGUCAAACUUCGAAAUUUCAAAAUUUAUAUUUUUGAUAAAAAUGGUUUCAUUGUGUUGGAAUUAUUUGUGUUAGUGAAAAUCGACAAUUAUUUCGAUAAUAAUUGAUGUCUGGAGGUUAUAUUGACCAAUCGGGUAUUUAACCGGAUAAAUGAGCAAUUGAUUGCUAUUAUUUCACAUGAUUAUAACUAUUUGUUCACAUGUGUAUACUAUUGUUUCACAUUCUUGUUACUAUUAGGGGAGUUGGUGCAAGAUUGAUAAUACUUGCAUGACUAAGUUAAAAAUGGAGGUAUAGAUGGAGGUACUAUACUGUAAUUCGUAUUUUCACAUGUCUAGAACUAUUGAUUCACAUAAUUUACUAUUGAAUCACAUUAUUUACUAUUAGGGGAGGUGGUGCAAGUUUGAUAAUAUUUGCAUGACUAAAUUAAAAAUAAAGGAAAAGUUGGAGGUAUUGUACUAUAAUUUUUCGAGCCCCAAAACGUGCAAUUAUCGAAACUAUAUUUUUCUAUAAAUAGAAGCUCAUUCUUCCUUCAUUUCUCACCAAUUCACAAAAGCUAUAGAAAUAUUAUUAUAGAGAGAAAUUGUAGAGAGAAAAUCUAUAGAAGAAGAGAAGCUUGCUACCUCACUACUUCUUUAUCCAGUUUCUUUCAAAGGUAAGGGGUAUUAUUUCUUUUGUAUUCAUGAAGAGAACUUUUGUUAUUCCAUUCUUUAUUAUUCUGUUGGAAUAACCUGUAUACGCGGACUACCCUAUACUUGGUGACAUUCUUUUAUUAUUCCGUCUUUAUUAGUAUUCUGUUGGAAUAUUCUGUCUGUACGUUUUACGCCGGACCUGAUUCCGUUUUUAUUAUUACUCUGUUGGAAUAUCCUGUCUGUGCAUUUUACGCUGGACCUGGUUCCGUCUUUAUUAUUACUCUGUUGGAAUAUCCUGUCUGUGCGUUUUACGCCGGACCUGGUUCCGUUAUUUAGUAUUCUGUUGGAAUAACCUGUCUAUGCGAAGUACCGCAUGCAUGGUGAUUUCUGUUGUUAUUUCAUUCUUUAUUAUUCUGUUGGAACAUCCUGUCGGUGCGAAUUUCGUCUGACUUGGUUUCGUUACUUAUUAUUCUGUUGGAACCUGUCUAUGCGAAGUACCGCAUGCAUGGUGAUUUCUUUUGUUAUUCCAUUCUUUAUUAUACUCAGUUGGUUAAAAUUUUGACUUCUAUACUCCAUGAAAUUAGUGGAAUAUCCUUGAUAUUUGCGCUUCAUCCAGUAUCUUUCGUGGAAAUAUUCUUCUGAGCAUUCUUGAAUUUUUACUCUACAAAGAAGUAUCAUGUUGACAAAUUGGACGUUAUUGGUUCCUGGACAAAUUAAUUCGUGAACUUGUUUUAUUGAAUUCUUAUAUCAUUGUCAUCAUCCUCAUGUUUAUAUUUUUUUUGAAAGUCAUCUGUGGCCUGUAGUGCAUAGAUGGACUUGAUAUGAUUAUGACCAGGGACUAUUCGGUGUGAUCAUGACCGUAAUGUUACAAAUGAUGUGAUAAAAGUUCUCAUUGGCUUGUAGUGCAUUGACGGACAGUUGUUGGCAUGAUCAUGACCAUUGAUGAGUACACGAAUAUCCUUGGCCCGUAGUGCAUGGAAUUUGUGGUCGUGAUACUAAAGAAUAUCUUUGGCCGUAGUGCAGGGGUGAUUCGAUGAUGUGGAUUAUUUAUUAAGCUGAGUCUCAGCCAUAAAAGUGAUGAAAAACAUUUUAAAUCAUAAAAGAUAGUAGAUUUUAUUCUCUACUUGACUCUUUUAAUUGAUUGCUUGUCCCGCUACAGUUAAACUUGAUGUCUAUUGUAUUUUAUCAGUUUAACACUGUUGAAGACUAAUGAUAAUUUAUUCUGCAUUAUCUUAGUCAUAAUAUUUCUUACUAGGCUAGUUGAGCUCACCCUUUCUUUCACUGUUCUCUUCAGAAAAUGAUAAUAUAGCUAGGACGAGUCGGGGAACGGAGUGAUGGACCAGAUGAUAAUAUUAGUAGUCCUCACUAUUCUGUUAAAUAGUGUGACAACAAAUGUAAUGAGGACUUAUUCUGAGAGUGGAUAUUGUCUUGAAGACAAUAUUUGUAUUAAAACUCGCAGCUCUCUUGUUGUAUAUUAAAGAUUGUAUUUGUAUUCUGUAGCAUGUAUUUGGCGACUCAGAAUAGGUGAUGUAUACCUGUUUUGGGGGCGUCACAACAUCAGCCACCCACCCACAAUAAAUAAGAAAAACGUUUUUCAUAAUUAAAAUAUUUUAAACUUCAAAAAUUAAUUAUUCUAGAAUUUCGGAACUUCAAUAAUUCAUAAUAAAUAGCCCUUUUGUCAGAAAAAUUCGAACCUUAUGUCUUUUCUAUAGGAAAUUCCAUUAUCUACAACUUUGCAAAAGAAAGUUUUUCCAAAUUCCAAACAGAAAUUGAUCGAAAUCUACAAACGGGCGAUUUUAAAGGCUAUAAUCAAAUUUCAGUCAAUAAAUGGGGUCCACCGACACAAAACAUGUGUUAAUCAUUUAAUGUAACAAAAAUACUCUUCCUCCUCAUAUACUCAUAUAUCUCACAUUCAUUAUAAAAAUAUCACAAUUAUUAUAUUAUUAAAAUAUUAUAUAUUUAAAUGAAUUAUAUUAUCAGGAAAAGAUAAAAUAUUAAUUUUUAACAAUUGUCACAUUAAAAAUUUUCUCUAUCUAUAUCCACAUAAAAUCAAUAUUUUUCUCAUCAUAUAAAUCAAUAAUUAAUUAUUCACAAAUAAUAUUACAGAAUCACAAUACUGACAACCAGGCAGUUCUCAAGAAAGAGGGGGCUUUCCAAUAAGAAUUUCUCCUUACUGGCGUGCAAUUAGAUGACCAAACCUCUCCUUAGACAGAAUUUUCUAGAUAUUGCCAAUAAUUUUAUCUAAUAAUAUUAUUCAGAUAAUAUGAAUUAUUGCUCCGAUAAUGGAAAAUACUGUGUAGUGACAAUUAUUGAAACGACAGUAAUAUAAAAUAUCAACGCAACAAUUAUUGAAUCAAUAAAAUAAAAUACUGAAUAGUAAUUACUGUAACAAUUAUUGAGUAGUGCCUUCUUACGUAAGAAUCAAUAAUUGGUGCAAUACUGUGUGCUACUACGCCGUUAUUUAUAAAUAACUUAUACUUGUCAUUUUUUUCAUUCAAUCGCUUUCCGUUAUGGGGCCCACACAAGGCUGCACCGUCGUACGAAUAUUCCCCGACAGCAAGAAUAUUUCACGACCAAACAAAUAUUUCCCGACAACAAUAAAUAUUUUAUAACCACUUGCUUAUUUGAAAUAUCUGCGCAUUUUACCCAUAACACAUCAUAUUAAUCAAAUUAACCCUUACUAUUUCAAAAUAAUAAAUAGAGAAAAUUUAAUUUCAUUAAUAAUAAGUUGGAGUCUUACAACCUCCCCUCCUUAUAAAAUUUCGUCCUCGAAAUUAACGUACGUACCUGGUGUUUCGAAAAGGUGAGGGUACCUCGCUUUCAUUUCCGUUUCUAACUCCCAGGCCAUUUCCUCUAUAGCAUGGUUUCUCUACAAAACUUUAACUUGUGGUAUGACCUUCGUGCGUAGGACAUGCUCUUUCCUAUCCAAGAUCUUGACAGUUACCUCCUCAUACGUUAAGUCUUCGGCUAUCUCGUUCGGUUCUAACUCAAUGACGUAGUUCGGGUCUUUCACAUAUUUACAAAGCACAUAUAUAUGAAAAACAUUAUGAACACGAGACAUACUUGGAGGUAACGUGAGUCUAUAUGCCACAUUUCCUACUCGGUCAAGAAUCUGAAAUUGACCAAUAAAUCGUGGAUUGAGCUUUCCUCUCUUCCCAAACCUUGUAACUCCCUUCCAUGGAGCAACAUGCAACAAUACGUGAUCCCCAAUACUAAAUUUCACGUCCUUUCGAUGAAGAUCUACAUAACUCUUUUGUCGAUCUUGUGCCGUUUGUAUACGUUGUCGAAUCAUUUGUGUAAGACCCCAACUUUUAUGAAUAAAGAUGAAUUUUCUAUAAUUAUCAUUUUUGGAAUAAAUUUGAUAUAAUGUUAUAGUUGUGGGUAAUAUUUAUAAAUCUUGCAAAGUACGUAAGUUAUAUAACAUUCGAUUAGUUGGGGAAUAUUCGUUUUAAACAAGGAAUAUUCGUACGACAGCACAAUCAUUGGUGGACCCCACAACGGAAUUAUUGUCGAAUUGAGAAAAUGACAAAAAUAUUUUUUAUGAAAAUAAUGGCGGAAGUUUUACCAUUAACUGUUGAAACACGCGGUGUUAAAAGUACAAAAAUACUCGUGAUUGCAUAGUAGCACACGAUAUUGAUUAUUGAUGCUUACAUGGAAAGUCAUUCUGUUUUAUUCAAUUAUUGUCAAUAUAUUAUAUAUUAUUAAAUUAAUAAUUGAGAUGAUAGAGUUAUUAAUAUUAUUAUUUGCAUUAUUAACGAUGUCUAGAAGUUCUGCCAAGGAGAGGAAUACUUGACAUCAUUGCAUGGGUCCCCGGAGUCUUGAAUUCUAUCUUCAUCAUUUGUAAAUCACACAAAAUGGGCCUUUGUGUUGACAACAUCGUACUCGUUCCCGCGUAUGAUCUUAUACUCAAUGCGUCGGCUACCACGUUCGAUUUUUCAGUAUGCUAUUGAAUGGUAUGGUCGUAGUCUUUCAACAUCUUGAGCCAACGUCGUUGCCGCAUGUUGAGUUCUUUUUGGGUGAAAAAAUAUUUGAGGCUUUUAUGGUCUGAAUAUAUCUCCACUUUCUCCCCAUAUAGAUAGUGCCUCCAGAUCUUUAGCGCAAAAACGACUGCUGUCAACUCUAGAUCAUGAGUAGGAUAAUUCCUCUCAUAUUCUUUAAGUUGUCGCGAGGUAUAGGCUAUGACUUUUCCACGUUGCAUGAGAACACAUUCUAACCCUUUGCCUGAAGCAUCGAUGUAGAUAACAAAUCCAUCUGAACCAGAUGGUAAUGUCAAAACAGGUGCCGAAAUAAGUCACCUCUUGAGCUCUUGGAAACUCUUCUCGCAUUCCUCCCUCCAUACGAAUUUUAUAUCUUUCUGAGUCAGCUGAGUUAAUGGAGUAGCGAUUCGAGAAAAUCCUUCAACGAAUCUCCGAUAAUAACCAGCUAAGCCCAGAAAGCUACGUACUUCGGUCACCGUCUUCGGUUGCUCCCAACUUUGUAUUGCUUCAAUCUUCGCCGGGUCAACAGAUAUUCCAUGUUUUGACACCACGUGCCCAAGAAAUGCUACCUCCUCAAGCCAGAACUCGCAUUUCUUCAACUUAGCAUAUAGCUUGUUUUCACGCAGCCUUUGGAUUACCGGCUUCAAAUGGUGCUCAUGAUCUUCACGACUUUUGGAAUAUAUGAGGAUGUCAUCAAUAAAGACAACAACGAACUGAUCCAAAUAUUCCUUGAAUACUCGAUUCAUCAUAUCCAUGAAAGCCGCAGGAGCAUUGGUCAAUCCAAAAGACAUGACUAAGAAUUCAUAAUGCCCGUACCGAGUCCUGAAGGCAGUCUUUGGAAUAUCCUCAGUUCUAAUCUUCAGCUGAUGAUAUCUAGAACGAAGAUCGAUCUUUGAAAAGAAUUGUGCUCCUUGCAACUAGUCAAACAUGUCAUUAAUACGAGGUAGCGGAUACCUAUUCUUAAUGGUGACAUGAUUCAAUUCGCGGUAGUCAAUACAAAGUCGCAUACUCCCGUCUUUCUUCUUUACAAAUAAAACAGGAGCACCCCAAGGAGAUGUACUAAGACGAAUGAAACUGAUGUCCAACAACUCCUGUAGUUGAACCUUUAACUCCUGAAGUUCAAUAGGAGCCAUUCGAUAUGGGGUUUUAGAAAUGGGCUUUGUACCAGGUUUAAGAUCAAUAAAGAAUUCAACUUCACGUUCCGGGGGUAGACCGGGAAGUUCUUCAGGAAAUACGUCAGGAAAGUCACUAACAACAGGUAUAUUAUUCAAAUCUGACGUGUCUUUAUUCAAAUUCAUAACAUGGGCUAAGAAAGCUUGACAUCCAUUUUUAAUAAACGAAUGGCUUUAUGGCUUGAUAUUACAGUGAUUGAUUUUAAUGGUUUAGUUGCUUGAAUUCAUACAACAGGUUGGUUAAGAAUAUAAAAACUAACAACCUUACAAAAACAAUCAAUUUUGGCAUGAUGAGUAGUUAACCAAUCAAUCCCUAAAAUCACAUCAAAAGCAAGUAUCUUUAAAGAGAAAAGGACAAUAGGUAAUAUGAUGGUGCCAACUUGGAUCAAACAAGAUUUAUAAACAGUGGAUGUGAUGAAAGUUUCUCUUAACGGAGUUUCAACAGAUAAGUCAAAGUCCAAUUUCUCCGGAGUCAAGUUUAAACGUUGAGCACAAGCAGGAGAGAUAAAUGAAUGGGUAGCACCGGUAUCUAGUAAGGUAUAAACUUCGCAAGAAUUUAUAAAUAGCUUACCCGUGAUCACCUCGUUUGGGUUCCUCGCAUUUUGACCAGUCACAACAAACGCUCUUCCAGGAACCGUUGACUUUGACUUUUCUGGGACAGUCUUUUGAGUCACCGUCCCCGCUGAACUAGGUUUCGCUACCGUGCAAUCUCGAGCGAUAUGUCCUUCCUUUCCACAAUUAUAGCAUACCUGGAACUGUUGUGGGCAGUUUGGACUGAUAUGUCCCUCUUUCCCGCAUUUAUAGCAUAUGACCGGUGGUCGUUCUCCUCCCUUGGAACCAGUUGCUGCUGGUGCUGACAUCUUUGCAUUGUCAUUAUUGAAUCUCAUUUUUUUAAAAUCUCCCCCCCGACUCGCUUCUUCUAUUCUCAUGGCCAUGUUUACCACCAGAGUGGUUGCCGCUCUUAUCCGUAUUCUUCUUUCUUCGCUGGUUAUCGUUGUUCUGAUGACUACUGUCACCAGUAUGAUCCUGGUUGUGGUCCCUCGGUUGAACGUACUGGUUAUCUCGCUCUAAUAAUUGAGCCCUGUUGACAACAUCUGAAUAGAGAGAAAAUUUAUGAGAAAUGAGAUAUUGACGUAUGCCGGGUUUCAAACCUCUCAGAAACAUCCGCGUCAUACGUUCCUCAUUCUCUACCAAAUGAGGUGCAAACCUAGAUAACUCUGCAAACUUCGAUUCGUACUGGGACACCGUCAUGUUGUUUUGUUCUAGUCUAAUAAACUCCACUUCCUUCAUAUAACGAAUACUUUCAGGAAAGUACUUGUCAUUGAAUAGUUUCUGAAACGUCUCCCAAGACAUGUUUAGUGCGGCAGGAUGGGUUCACUUCACAGAUUUUCACCAAUAAUCUGCCUCAUUAUGGAACAUAAAGGUGGCGAAUGGAACCUUCUGUUCCUCCGUGCAUCCCAAGACGUCGAAUAUCUUGGUAAUUUGCUUGACCCACAUCUCUGCCUUAAUCGGAUCUGGCUUUCCCUAGAAUUCUGGUUGUGACGCCCCCAAAAUAGGUAUACAACACCCAUUCUGAGUCGCCAAAUACAUGGUACAGAAAGCAAACUACAACUUCAAUAAUAUAAUUGUCGUGCAAAAUACGACAACACAUACUGUGAGUUUAAAUACAAAUAUUGUCUUCUAGACAAUAUCCACACUCAAAUAAGUCCUCAUUACAAUUAUUCAAACACUAUUUUACAGAUAUAGUAAGGACUGCUAACACAUCUUUCUAGAACCAUCACUCCAUACCCCGACUCGAUCCUGCUAUGUUCUCACCUCCUGAGAAGAAAACUGGAACAAAAAGAAAAAGGGUGAGCUCAACUAGCCCAGUAAAGAAUAUUAUGACUAAGAUAAUAUACAACAAAUUAUCAUUAGUCUUCAACAAGGAAAAAUCUGAUAGAAUAUAAUAGACAACAAGUUUUAGAUCAACAAAUAUAGCGAAAACAACAAUCCAUUAGAAGAGUCACGUGGAGAAUGAAUUCUACUAUCUUCUAAGAUUUAAAAGUUUAUCAUCAAUAUUUUAUCCUUGUAACAUCAAUCAAUAUACAUCUUUAAUCAAUAUUCAUCUUUAAUCAAUAUUCAUCUUUGCACUACAAGCCAAAGAUAUUUAUUUGUAUCACCAGUUGGUCAUGUUCAUCUCAACACUUGUUCAUCUUUGCACUAUGGGCCAAAGAUAUUCAUCAGUUAAUCAUUCAUCUUUGCACUACAGGCUAAAGAUAUUCAGUAAUAUCAUCAUUUAGGACUGAGGAUGAUGAAAAAUAUUUUAAAGAAAACGAAUCCAGUGAGACAGAAGAACAAAUAUUAGGGAUUCAUAUAACAGUUUAUUCAAGAUCAAUAAUACUCCAUAAUAACCAAUUUUGAAGCAGAAUUCAAAAAUAAAGAUCAAAACAUGGAUACAAUCAAAGAUAAUAACCAUAAUAGACAUCUUGGACAAAAAGAAAAAAAUUUAUUUUUCGGUGAAUAGUGCCAUAUUUGUGAAUAGUGCCGUAUACGUGAAUAGUAAUUCCGACACAAAAAGUUCUAAAUUUGAUUAAAAAAUUCAGAUCAAUACUUCGGCAUAAUGAUAUUGAAAGAAAUAAUAUCAUAUAUGAAGAAAAUAACAUCCCUUAACUCAAAAUAACGGUACUUCUGAUCGAAAUAUCGGAUAGAAAGCUAAAGGAAACUUGUACUGAACAACAACUCUCAAAGUAUCAAAAUACUCACAAAAAUAUGCUCGAUAAUCUAGAGAGAAAGAAAACUUGUUUCUGGUGUGAUUUUCAAUUCUAACCUAAGCGUCUAUUUAUAGGAAAAUGCUAGAACGCCAUAGGAGACUAAAUAAUAAAUUAAUAUUAUUUCAUUUCUUCUUUUCUACGCAUGCUUCUUGACUAAGAUCAGCCACCAGCCAUCUUUGAACAAAAUCUAGCAGCCCACAUGUGUUAAAACAAAAGUGGGUCCCACCCAAUUUUAAUAAAAAUUAUUUUAUUUUCCGAAACUUCAAUAAUUCAUAGAAAAUAGCACGUUUAUCAUAAAAAUACGAAUUUUAUGUCCAUUCUGUCUGAAAUUGAAUUCUCUACAACUUUGUAGCUUUGAGUUUUUCCAAAUUCCAAAUCCAUAUUGAAUAGUGUGAUCGUAAUCUUUUAAUGCGUAGUACCCCGACUCGAUCCUAUUCUUGAUGGUGACAUGGUUUAAUUCUCGGUAGUCAAUACAAAGUCGCAUACUCCCGUCUUUCUUCUUUAUGAAUAAAACAGGAGCACCCAAAGGAGAUGUACUAGGACGAAUGAAACCGAUGUCUAAUAACUCCUGUAGUUGGACUUUUAACUCCUGAAGUUCAAUAGGAGCCAUUCGAUAUGGGGUUUUAGAAAUUGGUUUUGUACCCGGUUCAAGAUCAAUAAAGAAUUCAACAUCACGUUCCGGGGGUAGACUAGGAAGUUCUUCAAGAAAUACAUCAGGAAAUUCUCUAACAACAGAAAUAUUAUCCAAAUCUGACUUGUAUUUAUUCAAGUCCAUAACAUGAGCUAAGAAAGCUUGGCAUCUAUUUUUUAAUAAACGAAUAGCUUUGUGGCUUGAUAUGAUGGUGACUGAUUUUAGUGGUUUAGUUGUUUGAAUUCGUAUGACAAGUUGGUUAGGAGUAUGAAAACUAACAACCUUACGAAAACAAUCAAUUUUGGCAUGAUGAGUGGUUAACCAAUCAAUUCCUAAAAUCACAUCAAAAGCAAGUAUCUUUAAAGAGAUAAGAUCAACAGGCAAUGUGAUAGUGCCAACUUGGAUCAUGCAAGAUUUAUAAACUGUAGAUGUAACGAAGGUUUCACCCAACGGAGUUUCAACAGAUAAAUCAAAAUCUAAUUUCUCCGGAGUCAAGUUUAAACGUUGAGCACAAGCAGGAGAGAUAAAAGAAUGGGUAGAACCGGUAUCUAGUAAGGUAUAAACUUUGCAAGAAUUCAAGAUUAGCUUACCCGUGAUCACCUCGUUCGGGUUCCUCACGUUUUGGCCAGUUACGACAAACGCUCUUCCAGGAACCGCUGAUUUUGACUUAUCUGGGACAGCCUUUGGAGUCACCAUCCCUGCUGAACUUGGUUUUGCUAUAGUAUAAUCUCGAGUGAUAUGUCCUUCCUUUCCAUAAUUAUAACAUACCUUGGAUUGUUGUGGACAGUUUGGGCUGAUAUGUCCCUCUUUCCUGCAUUUGUAACAUCUAACUGGCGGUCGAUCUCCUCCCUUAGAAUUUGUUGUUGGUGCUGGUGUUGCUGCUGAUGUCUUCCCGUCAUCGUUGAAUCUCCUCUUUCUAAAAUUUCCACUUGACUCACCUCUCCUAUUAUCAUGGCCACGAUUACCACCCGAGUGGUUACCGCCUUUGUCUGUAUUUUUCCCUCCUCGUUAGUUAUCAUCGCAUUGAUGACUGUUAUCACCGGUAUGACCCUGAUUAUGCUCCCUCGGUUGAGUAUACUCACUAUCUCGCUCUAAUAAUUGAGCCCUGUUGACAACAUCUGAAUACAGAGAAAAUUUAUGAGAGAUAAGGUAUUGACGAAUCUUGGAUUUUAGACCUCUCAGAAACAUCCGCGUCAUACGUUCCUCAUUUUCUACCAAAUGAGGUGCAAACCUGGAUAACUCCGCGAACUUCGCCUCGUACUGAGACACCGUCAUGUUGUUCUGUUCCAGUUUAAUAAACUCUACCUCCUUCAUAUGACGAAUACUUUCAGGAAAGUAGUUGUCAUUGAACAGUUUCUGAAAUCUUUCCUAAGACAUGUUGAGUGCAGCUGGCUGGGUACGCUUCACAAAUUCCCACCAGUAAUCCACUUCACCACGGAACAUAAAGGUGGCGAAUGGAACCUUCUGUUCCUCUGUGCAUCCCAAGACAUCGAAUAUCUUGGUAAUUUGCUUGACCCACGUUUCCGCCUUAAUCGGAUCGGGCUUUCCCCAGAAAUCUGGUGGUCCCAACUCCUUGAACUGCUUGGCUGUAACAUACCGCGCGUUGCCAUCAUUUUCACCCGUAUUUUGUACACGAGUCUCCCUCGUCUGAUUUUGCAUGAACUGCAAAAAGCUCCUAAACAUUCCAUCAUUCAUCGUUUGCUCGGUAGCGUUGUUUACAUGAGGAAUAUUGUCUUCCUGUUGCACGUUAUCCUGGUUUGUGACUAAAGGUUGUUCCACAGUCUCAUACACUCCAUUGUUAACGUUCUCAACAGCCAUUCUUAAAUACUGCCAUAAAACAAGGGUUAAUUAAACAAAUUAACAUAUCACAUAAUAUCCCUAUAUUAUGACUGACCAACAAAUAAGCUUAGAUAGGACACACUAGCGAAUGAUUUACUCAUCUCUCCCCUUCUAGUUCUAUUCCCCGAUCUCCACUAGAGACCAUAUCCCUAAGCUUUGAUACCAACUGUGACGCCCCUAAAAUAGGUAUACAACACCCAUUCUGAGUCGCCAAAUACAUGGUACAGAAAGCAAACUACAACUUCAAUAAUACAAUUGUCGUGCAAAAUACGACAACACAUACUGUGAGUUUAAAUACAAAUAGUCUUCUAGACAAUAUCCACACUCAAAUAAGUACUCAUUACAAUUAUUCAAACACUAUUUUACAGAAAUAGUGAGGACUGCUAACACAUCUUUGUAGAACCAUCAUUCCAUACCCCGACUCGAUCCUGCUAUGUUCUCACCUCCUGAGAAGAAAAAUGGAACAAAAAGAAAAAGGGUGAGCUCAACUAGCCCAGUAAAGAAUAUUAUGACUAAGAUAAUAUACAACAAAUUAUCAUUAGUCUUCAACAAGGAAAAAUCUGAUAGAAUAUAAUAGACAACAAGUUUUAGAUCAACAAAUACAGCGGAAACAAUAAUCCAUUAAAAGAGUCACGUAGAGAAUAAAUUCUACUAUCUUCUAAGAUUUAAAAGUUCAUCAUCAAUAUUUUAUCCCUGUAACAUCAAUCAAUAUACAUCUUUAAUCAAUAUUCAUCUUUGCAUUAUAGGUCAAAGAUAUUUAUUUGUAUCACUAGUUGGUCAUGUUCAUCUCAACACCUGUUCAUCUUUGCACUACGGGCCAAAGAUAUUCAUCAGUUAAUCAUUUAUCUUUGCACUGCAGGGCAAAGAUAUUCAGUAAUAUCAUUAUUUAGGACUGAGGAUGAUGAAAAAUAUUUUAAAGAAAAUGAAUCCAGUGAGACAGAAGAACAAAUAUUAGGGAUUCGUAUAACAGUUUAUCCAAGAUCAAUAAUACUCCAUAAUAACCAAUUUUGAAGUAGAAUUCAAAAAUAAAGAUCAAAACAUGCAUACAAUCAAAGAUAGUAACCAUAAUAGACAUCUUGGACAAAAAGGAAAAUUUUCAUUUUUCGGUGAAUAGUGUCGUAUUCGUGAAUAGUGCCGUAUACGUGAAUAGUAAUCCCGACACAAAAAGUUCUAAAUUUGAUUAAAAAGUUCAGAUCAAUACUUCGACAUAAUGAUAUUGAAAGAAAUAAUAUCAUAUAUGAAGAAAAUAACAUCCCUUACCUCAAAAUAACGGUACUUCUGAUCGGAAUAUCGGAUAGAAAGCCAAAGGAAACUUGUACCGAAUAACAACUCUCAAAGUAUCAAAAUACUCACAAAAAUACGCUCGAUAAUCUAGAGAGAAAGAAAACUUGUUUCUGGUGUGAUUUUCAAUUCUAACCUAAGCGUCUAUUUAUAGGAAAAUGCUAGAACGCCAUAGGAGACUAAAUAAUAAAUUAAUAUUAUUUCAUUUCUUCUUUUUUACGCAUGCUUCUUGACCAAGAUCAUCCACCAGCCAUCUUUGAACAAAAUCUAGCAGCCCACAUGUGUUAAAACAAAAGUGGGUCCCACCCAAUUUUAAUAAAAAUUAUUUUAUUUUUCGAAACUUCAAUAAUUCAUAGAAAAUAGCCCGUUUAUCAUAAAAAUACGAAUUUUAUGUCCAUUCUGUCUGAAAUUGAAUUCUCUACAACUUUGUAGCUUUGAGUUUUUCCAAAUUCUAAGCAGAAAAUAUCUGAAAUCCACAAACGGGUGAUUUUUAAUACUUCCCUUCCGACAAAAUACUGAUAAAACACCUCAGCAUUAAUUCCUUCAUUUAUAACCACAAAAUAAAUAAAUCCAUCAUUUAUAUCCAUAUCAAAUAAAUAUUUUCUUAUCAUAUAAAUUAAUAAUUAAUUAUUCACAAAUAAUAUUACAGAAUCACUCUUAUGACAACCAGGCAGUUCUCAGGAAAGAGGGGGCUUUCCAAUAAGGAUUUCUCCUUACUGGCGCGCAAUUAGGUGACCAAACCUCUCCUUAGACAGAACAUUCUAGACAUUGCCAAUAAUGCUAUCUAAUAAUAUUAUUCAAAUAAUAUGAAUUAUUGAUAUGAUAAUGGGAAAUACUGUGCAGUGACAAUUAUUAAAACAACAAUAAUAUAAACUAUCAACGCAUCAAUUAUUGAAUAAAUAAAAUAAAAUAUUGAACAGUAACUACUGUAACAAUUAUUGAGUAGUGUCUUCUUACGUACGAAUCAAUAAUUCAACAAUACUGUGCAACCACGCGUAUUACUGUAUUUUAACCACCAGAUAACCCAACAGUGUUAACGGUAACAAUUACGUUGUUAGUCAUAAAAACUCAUACUUUGUCGUUUUCUUCAUCCGACAGUUAUUCCGUUAUGGGGCCCAUAAUUGACUGCGCUGUCGUACGGAUAUUACCGACAAAAAGAAUAUUCCACGACCAAACGAAUAUUCCUCGACAGAAAUGAAUAUUUUAUAACCACUUUCUUAUUUUUCAAAAUUUGCACAUUUCACCUAUAACCAAAGCAUUAUAUCAAAUUAACCCUUAUUAAUUUAGAAUAAUGAAUAGAGGAAAAUUCAAUUUUAUUUAUAAGAAGUUAGGGUCUUACACUGGUGGUCCCAACUCCUUGAACUGCUUGGCUGUGACAAACUGUGCGUUGUUAUCAUUUCCUCCUAUAUUUUGAACACGAGUCUCCCUCGUCUGAUUUUGCAUGAACUGUAAAAAGAUUCUAAACAUCCUAUCAUUCAUUGUCUGAUCAGUGGUGUUGUUUACAGGAGGAACAUUGCCAGUCUGUUGCACGUUCUCCUCAUUUGUGAGUACAUGCGUCUCCACGGUCUCAUUUACUCCACUGUUAACAUUCUCAGUUGCCAUUCUCAAAAGAAAGAAAAUUAAAUAAGAUAAAGCCGCAAAAAACUACGAGCUCAAAUGAUCACUAUCAAACUAAUUACAUUUUCAAAUGCUGUGCAGGCUUAUCAUGUGGCUGCUGGGUGAUUUUAGUGGAUAUUAGCUUAGCCAUCUCCAGUGCUUCAUCCAGACUGUCAGACUUCUUAACAAGAUUGCAAAUGACAGUGAAGACACAUUCAAGAUCUGGAUAUAAAUCAACAAACAACUUAGCUCGUAUCUCUAAUUUUUAAAAAGGUAUUAGAGAAAACAACAACCUGUAAAGAACAACAUAUUAGGCUUUAGGAACUGCUGAGUCCUAUAGGCUAUGACAUGAUUAACAUAAAAGUAAUUGUAUAGAAAAACAAAGAACAUAUUCCAAAAUGAUUAAUAAUGUGAUACAUUUAUGCAUAAAAAAUCCAAAAGUAGUCACUGUAAGAGUUUAAGAUGAAUACUCUAUUGAUUAAUGUUAAUUUCUACAAGACGUAGUUUUCAAAUGGAAUGCAAGAAGCAAACAAUAAAAGCUGAUAUAGAAACCCAUAGUUUGAGCAGGAAGUUGGCAAAAAUAGUAAGACAUAAAAGAAACAGAAGUAAUGCAUUGUUNNNNNNNNNNNNNNNNNNNNNNNNNNNNNNNNNNNNNNNNNNNNNNNNNNNNNNNNNNNNNNNNNNNNNNNNNNNNNNNNNNNNNNNNNNNNNNNNNNNNUCAACAGGAAAAAAUCUGAGAGAAUAUAAUAAACAACAAGUUUCAGAUCAAUAUUCGCAGCAGAAAUAAUAAUUCAUAGAAGAGUUUCGUAGAGAAUGAAAUCUACUAUUAUCUAUGAAUUUAAAAGUCCAUCAACAGUAUUUUUAUCCCUGUAACAUCAAUCAAUACACAUCUUGAAUCAAAUAUUCAUCUUUGCACUAUUAUUGACUUGCCGGCUGCUCUCUCUUGGUUGAGUUUACUCAUUAUCGGUCUCCAACAACUGAUCCCUAUUUACAACAUCUGAAUACAAACACAAUUUGUGAGAAAUGAGGUAUUGACGUAUCUCGUGUUUUAAACCUCUUAGAAACAUCCGCGUCAUUCUCUCCUCAUUAUCAACCAAGUGGGAUGCAAAUCGGGACAACUCAGCAAACUUAGCUUCGUACUACGACAUGAUCAUAUUGUUUUGCUCUAUCUUGAUGAACUCCACCUCCUUCAAGUGAUGAAUACUUUCGGGAAAGUACUUGUCGUUGAACAGUUCUUGGAACUUCUUCCAAGACAUUUUGAGUGCGACAGGCUGAGUACGUUUUACUAAUUCCCACCAGUAAUCUGCCUCUCCUCUAAACAUGAAGGUGGCAAAUGGAACCUUUUGCUCCUUAGAGCAUCCCAAGACAUCAAAUAUCUUGGUGAUCUGUUUUAUCCACGUCUCCACCUGAAGUGGUUCUGGCUUUCCCCAAAACUCUGGUGGUCCCAGCUCCUUGAACUGCUUAGCGGUGACCAUCCUAGAGUUGCCAGUGUUUCCACCUGCAUUUUGCACAUGUGUCUCUCUCACCCGAUGUAGGAUGAAUUGCAGAAAGCCUCUGAACAUUCCAUUGUUCAUCAUUUGGUCGAUGUUGUUGUUUACAUGAGGAUUGUUGCCUUCAUGAUGCACAUUAUCCUGGUUAUUGAUCUAUGGUGACUUAACGGUCUCUUGUGCUCCAUUGCUUAUUUCAACAUUUUCAGAUGCCAUUUUUAAAUACUGCUACAAAAUAAGGGUUAAUUGACAUGCAACAUAUUAUCCUUAUAUUCUGACCGACCAAUUAAAUAACAAAUAAACUUAGGUAGGUCAUACUAGCGAAGAAUUUCCCCGUCUCUCCCCCUAGUUCUAGUCUCACAUCUCAGCCAGGGAUCAUAUCCCUAAGCUUUGAUACCAACUGUGACGCCCCCAAAAUAUGUAUACAUCAUCCAUUCUGAGUCGCCAAAUACAUGGUACAGAAUUCAAAUACAACUUAAUUAUACAACUGUCGUGUAAAAUAAGACAAAACAUAAGCUGGGAGUUUCAACACGAAUAUUGUCUUCUAGACAAUAUCCAAACUCAAAUUCAAUAUCAUUAUAAUUAUUAUCAUACUAUUUCACAAAAUAGUGAGGACUACUAAUGCACCAUCUCGGACCAUUACUCCGUUCCCCGACUAGUCCCAGCUAUGUUCUCAUUUCCUAAAGAGAACAAUGAAAGUAAAAGGGUGAGCUCAACUAGCCCAGUAAGAAAUAAUAUGACUAAGAUAAUGCAUGAUUAAUUAUCGUUAGCCUUCAAUAGUGUUAAAUUAAUAAAAUAUAAUAAACAUAAAGUUUAACUACAGCGGAACAAGCAAUCCAUUAGAAGAGUCAAGUAAAGCAUGAUAUCUACUAUCUUUUAUGAUUUAAAAAGUUUAUCUUCAAUUUUAUCGCUGAGACUCAACUUAAUAAAUAAACCACAUCAUCGAAUCAUCCCUGCACUACGGGAUAAGGAUAUUCAUUAGUAUCACGACCACGAAUUAUCCAUGCACUACGGGCCAAGGAUAUUCGUAUUUUCACCAAUGGUUAUGAUCAAGCCAACAACUGUCCAUCAAAGCACUACGGGUCAAUGAGGACUUUUACCACAUCAUUUGUAACAUUACGGUCAUGAUUAUACCGAAUGAUCUCUGGUCAUAAUCAUACCAAUCAACAGUCUAUCUAUGCACUACGGGCCAAAGAUGACUUUCAUAACAAUAUAAACAUGAGGAUCAUGACAAUGAUAUAAGAAUUCAAUUAAAAGAAAGCAAAGGAUAAAUUUUUAAAGAUUUAUAAUUUAAUUUAUCCAGAAUUCAAUAAUGUCCAAAUUGUGAACAUGAUACUACUUUGUGGAUAAAAUUCAAGAAUAAUAUUGUAUCAAAAAUGAUUUGGAUCGAAAAGAAAUCAAUUUUUGUCAUGAAUAGCACCCCGGGUGAAUAGUAACCGAGUGAAUAGUACCACGUGAAUAGUACUUCGGGAAUAGUAACCCGUGAAUAGUACUCCGGCAUAAAAAAGUUAAAACUUAUCAAGAAUGCUCAGAAUAAUAUUUUCAUGAAAAGAUAUUGGAUGAAGCGCAAAUUUCAAGGAUAUUCUACUAAUUUCAUGGAGUAUAUAAGCUAAAAAUUAACAAAAUGAGUAUAGAAUUUGGAAUCUGAAAUGAAAUAAUAUUACUUACAUACUACAGAGUAUGGAAGAAAAUAUUAUUUCUUACAAGUAUUGAACAAAAAUAAUACCCCUUACCUUAAAAACAAGAGUAUUCCGACUGGUAUAGCGGGGAUAUUCUUGAAGAAAACCUUAACUAUUUUCUACGCUCAAAACUUUUUAAAACUCUAAAGAAAUAUGCUCAAUAUUAUAGAAGAAGAAUUCUCUGAUUCUGGUGUGAUUUUCAAUUCUAAACUAAGCAUCAUAUUUAUAAGAGAAUUGAAGGAUACUAUUUAGAAAAAUUUAUCACGGACGCACAAUAAGAUUUUAGACGAAAAAUUCACGGGCGAAAGAAGAAUAAAAUCAGAUGUCCAAUCUUACAAAAUUAUUCACAUAAAACAAACUUUAUAUAUAUAAAUAUACACACACAUCACUAUCACCCCCCACCACAUAUCAUCCACCACACACACACACAUCAUUUUAAUUUUUUUUCUUUCCACCACCACUACUUUUCCACCACACACACACAGACACGCACGACACACACACACACACCUCUCUCAUUUUCAUACACAUUUCACUAUCACACCCACACACAUCACUAUCACACACACACACAUUUCAUAUAUAUAUAUAUAUAUAUAUAUAUAUAUAUAUAUAUAUAUAUAUAUAUUCUACCAAUUAUUUUGANNNNNNNNNNNNNNNNNNNNNNNNNNNNNNNNNNNNNNNNNNNNNNNNNNNNNNNNNNNNNNNNNNNNNNNNNNNNNNNNNNNNNNNNNNNNNNNNNNNNCUUUACCGAUUAUUCUGAAAAAUAAGUAAGUGGGGGUCCAAAUAAUACGCCAAAAUUUAUAACAAAUACUUCAUAAAAAUUCACUCAAUAUUUUUAACAACAUUUAUCAUCAUUAUUAUAACUCGUAAUAUUUAACAACCAGAUCAUUCCCAGGAAAGAUGGGGCUUUCAGAUAAGGAUUUCUCCCUAUUGGCGUGUAAUUAGGUGACCAAACCAUUUUCCUCGACAGAACUUUCUAGACAUCGUCAAUAAUGUAAAUAAUAAUAUAAAUAACUUUCUCGUCUCAAUUAUUGAUUUAAUAAUAUAAAAUAUUGACAAUAAUUGAAUCAAAUAAUGUGAGAUACUAUACAGCAAUUACUGUAGCAAUAAUUGAAUAAAACUUAGUGACUUCUCACGUAAGCAUUAAUAAUCAAUACCGUGUGUUACUAUGCAACCACGCGUAUUACUGUACUUUUACCACCGGGUAUUUCAACUGUUUAACGUUAAAACUUUUGUCGUUAUUUUUCUAAAAAGAUAAUUCUGUCGUUUUCUAACUUCGAUAAUAAUUCCAUUGUGGGGUCCACCAAUGAUUGUACUAUCGUACGAAUAUUUCUUGUUAAAACGAAUAUUCCCCACCAAUCAAAUAUUUUAUAACAACUUGCUUACUUUGCAAAAUUUAUAAAUAUUACCCACAACUAUAACAUUAUAUCAAAUCCACACCCUAAUAUUCAAAAAUAUAUUUCAAGAAAAAUUAAUCUUUAUUUAUGAAAGUUGGGGUCUUACAUUUUGAAAGUAGGGAUUUGGAGUUUUCUGGAGGUACUUUGAAAUGUAUGCCUUGAGGUUUGGGAUGUUUAUGUUUUGGAGAGAUUUAAGGUUAGGGUUUUAAGAGGUUUGAUGGAGCAGAGAUACUUACAACUUUUUGGUAACUGCUUGGAAGUGUAACCGCCACAUAUUUGAAUUUUCUUUUACAACUGUUCCCUCUAAUUCUGAACAGGACUGGUGCAAGUGAGCUAUUGGAUGCACGAUGCUUCAAUAUCUGUGACUUCCCAUAAUUGAUCAACUUUUAAGUUUUUACUUCCCUUCUUAAGGCAUGAGUAUUACUUCCUUUAGUUGACUGUUGACUUCUUCAUUUCGUAGAGUAGCUUGAUGAGAUAGUUGUGUACUCUACGAUUUUCUAUUUACUCAACGAUCAUCUUCUGCAACUAUGCUUCAAUAAAUGUAUCUUUUCUGAUCUUCAGCUGAGAGUUUCGUCCUCUUGCAUGAUUAUCAAUAGAUUAAAUUAUCCUCUAGGCUUAUCUUCCAAGGCUUCGUUCCUUCCUAUCACAUCAGCUAAGAAUUUAUACUCUUAAGGGAAUUCUUCUUCUUUAAACUCUCAAGCUUGGGAGGAGUUCUUGUGGUGCAUUCUAUUUCAGCUCUUCUUCUAGGUUAAGGAAGCUCAGAAAGGGCAGGCCUUUUAGUUUAAAACUUAGGGCUAUGUUUAUCUCUGAGGCUCUUAUCAGAAGAAGGACUGUUUAGAUAGAGAAUUCCUUUGCUGUAUACCUCAUUGCAAUAGAGUUCAUUUACGAACUUCGAAUAUACUUUGACAUUGGUAUAUAUGCUAGUGAAUGAGGGUGAAGUGCUUUUAGCUCUUGUAUGGUUAGGAGAGUGUAUUUGGAAAGUGUUUAUAUAGGUUGCAAUCGUAGGCUCAACAUACUCUUAUGCUCUACAAUUAGGAUGUUGAUCGUAGGAACUCUACGAUUGGGGUAGUGGGACUAACUUGAUUAUCAGUCGUAAGGUUUAGGGACUCUACGACCUGGGAUAAAUAUUUAUUUGGUUCAUCAGCCAUAGAGUUUUAGGACUCUGUAACUGGGAAAUGGUUGUUUGACUAAAAUGGAGUAUCAACCCAAUGAUUAUUGGAGCUUUUCAUAAUACUUGAAGAAUGAUGUCGGUGAAAAUUCAUCAUAAAGUAUUGUUAGACGAAGUUCCUUAUGUUAUAAGAACUUAAGAUGAAUAGUUAAUGGUUAGCUUUUUAGCAUAUUUGAGAGUUCUUGAGUCAACACAUUUAAAUGUACUUUUCUGAUUCAUAAGAACUUAAUGGAUGUGAACUGGUGCUCCGGUCAUCAGAGAUGUAAGAGAGAAUGAACUGUAUCCUGUGCUCAUCUCUAAAUUUAGCAAUAAAUUUCACUUCUUCUUCUCCGUUAUUUUUUUCAUCACGCAGCUUCAUUGUUUGAGGGAUCUGAAGGAUUUAGCUUCAAUAAGUUCCUCCUCAAUUUGGGCAUUUCUAGGCUUUAGCAGACUGUUGCUUCCCCAUAGUUAAUACUUCUAUCUUAGAGGCAGAUGGACUAACUUCUGUAUAUAGAUCUUUGUAAGGUUGCCUUGCACUUCUUCUUUUAGCUGAAAUGAUAUCUUCAUGGUUGAUUCAGCUCUAUUGGAUUGUAGAGUAUUUUCUUCAGAACUGGUUACUCUACUAUUUGCUAACUAGGCACUAUGAGCGUAGGGUCUAGUAUUGAGACUUCAACAUCUUCUAUAUUUGUGGAGUUCCCACUCUACGACUCAUACUUUACCACCAUUGGCAGAUGAUCAUGAGUAUAUUUUUCCUUCUCGAUCUUUCUUAAGCUGAGAUGCUUUGUCUGAAUAAGCUUGGAAGGUCUCAUACUUCUUGGCAUGAAUUACAUACUUCCACAAUUGAAGGAUCAUGAAGAUCAUACUAUGGGUUUUAGGUCCCUAUAACAUUUUCAUGAGUUUCCUUCAUCCUCAGAGGAGCAUGUCUUCUAGAGCAUGUCUUCUAGAGCAAGUUCUAGCCUUUGAAGUUCUUGAAAGAGAGCAUAACUGUGACGCCCCCAAAAUAGGUAUACAUCACCCAUUCUGAGUCGCCAAAUAUAUGGUACUGAAUUCAAAUACAAACAUAAUUAUACAACUGUCGUGUAAAAUACGACAAAAUAUUGUUGAGAGUUUUAGCACGAAUAUUGUCUCAUAGAUAAUAUCCAAACUCAAAUAGAUUUCUCAUUACAAUUAUUAUCACACUAUUUCAUAGAAUAGUGAGGACUACUAUAGCCACCAUCUCGGACCAUCACUCUGUUCCCCGACUAGUACCAGCUAUAUUCUCAUUUUCUGAAGAGAACAAUAAAAACAGAGGGUGAGCUCAACUAGCCAAGUAAAAAAUAUUAUGACUAAGAUAAUGCAGAAUAAAUUAUCGUUAGCCUUUAACAGUGUUAAACUGAUAAAAUACAAUAGACAUCAAGUUUAACUGCAGUGAAACAAAUAAUUCAUUAGAAGAGUCGAGUAGAGCAUGAUAUCUACUAUCUUCUAUUAUUUAAAAGUUUAUCAUCAAUUUUAUCGCUGAGACUCAGCUCAAUAAAUAAUCCACAUCAUUGAAUUAUCCAUGUACUAUGGGCCAAUAAUAUUCAUUAUUAUCACAUCCACGAAUCAUCCAUGCACUACGAGCCAAGGAUAUUCGUAUUAUCACCAAUGGUCAUGAUUAUAGCGAUACAUAGUUAUAAUCAUACCAAUCAACGGUCCAUCUAUCCACUACGGGUCAAAGAUAACUUUUAUCACAAUGUAAGCAUGAGGAUGAUGACAAUGAUAUAAGAAUUCUAUUAAAUAAGAGCAAUGAUAAAUUUUAAAGAAUUAUAAUUCAAUUUAUCCAGAAUUUAAUAAUGUCCAAAUUGUUAAGAUGAUACUGCUAUGUGGAGUAAAAUUCAAGAAUAAUAUUGUAUUACAAAUAAUUUGGACAAAAAAAAAAUCAAUUUUUUGUCAUGAAUAGUAUCCCAGGUGAAUAGUGCCGAAGUGAAUAGUACCUCGUGAAUAGUACUUUGGGAAUAGUACCCCGUGAAUAGUACCCCGACAUGAAAAGUUUAAAAAUUCUCAAGAAUAUUCAGAAUAAUAUUUUCGUGAAAAGAUACUAGAUGAAGAGCAAAUUUUAAGGAUAUUCUACUAAUUUCACGGAGUAUAGAAGCAAUACUUUAACAAAAUGAGUGUAGAAUUCGGAAUCUGAAACGAAAUAAUAUUACUUAUGUAACGGGACGAAUUGUUUAAUUAUGAUUCUGAGGACAUAAUCCUUUUAAGAGGGGAAAGAUGUGACAACCGAGAUUUUGUAAAUUAAUUUUGAAUAUUUAUUUGAUUGAAUAAAUAUUUUUCGAUGAAUUAAUUAUUAGAUUAAAUAAUUAAUUGAUGAAGUUGUAAUAGAUUAAUUUAAUUAUAUGUGUUACAUUUAUUAAUUUAAUGUGGAGAAUUUUUAUUAUUCGAAGUAUGUGAUUAUGUGAGCUUAUUGAAUUAAAAAAAAUAUUUAAUAAGCCUAUUGUUAUUUUAAUUAAUUUAAUUAUUAAUUAGAGAUUUAAUAAUUUGACAUUAUUAAUUAAAGAGAAAUUGAAUUAUGUGACUAUGUGAAUUAAUGAGAAAUUAUUAUAUUUUAUUUAAAAUAAAUUAAAUAAGAUAUUGGUUUUAUUUUAUGAAGAAGUGUGACAUUUAUUAAACUAUAGGAUAAGUUUUUAUUAAAUUAAAUGAUUUAAAAUCCUAUUCUUGCCAAAAAAACAGGACCUUAAGGGCAGUUGGGGGCAGUUAAACCACGAAUGGAAUAACUGACCUCAACUCUGCGCAUAAAGGUCAGUGGUUUAUUUCUUUUACGUAUUUUUUUAUUAGAGUUCAAUUGAGAGCUUGAGAGGUUUCAGAGAAAAAUUAGAGAAAAGUGUGGAGAAACUCUGUGAUUGAGAUAGAGAGAAAGUUGUUAUCUUCAUAUUCUACGCUUGGGAUUUAAUUCAAAGAACGAGUUUGUUUAAGUGUAAUCUACGCACGAGGCAAGUUUCUAAACCUUAUCUUGUUACAUUGAACAAGUUUCUUACCCUAAACUUUUGUUGAGCAAGUUCUCAUUGUUAUUGAUCAAGCCUGUCUUAUAUAUUAAAGUUUAUUAAUCUUCAAGCAUGAUGUUGUUAUACAAUAAUUAUUCUAUUGUAUACCUUUUUAGAUGUUAUUCAAGUUAAACAUUCAUUCAUUGUUAAACCUUAUUAGACUAGCGAACCCUUAUUGAUUUGACUAGUCCAUAGUUGAUGAGCAUUCUAAAUUUCAGAACCCCUUGAUGAAUUAUCCAAACCAAACUUCCUUUGGUGCGGACUCGAAUGUCAAACUGAGAUGAACAACCUGUAUAGGGGAUUAUUUACGCUUUAGCGUUAAGAUAUUUUGCCCAGUAUGGUACUAAGGGACGAUCCCCCUAAGUACGAGAAGAGGAGUCCAUAGUCUUAUGACUGUUAAAGGUUUCAAGUAAAAACACUUGACAAUCUAGGACAUAGUUCAAGGUCUUAUGACCCUUAGAAAUUCUUAUGAUUCUUGUUAUUCAUUCUUGAUUCAAAAGUUGAGCUUUUAUAUCCGAAGUUAUUAUUUCUCUCGCAUGUUAUUAUUCAUUGUUAUAUUGUUAUACUUGUGGGCAAUCGUGCUCACUCUUGCGUAAUAAUAACAUUACAGUUAAGAACGAAUGAGCAGACGAACCAUCCAUUAGUAAGGGCAAGGGCAAGCUUAGCAAGUAAUGAAGAAUGAAUUAUUAUUGUGGUUAUGUAAUGUAAUUAGUAAUGAUGUUACUUAAAAUUUAUUUAAUUAUGUUUUCCGCACAGAUGUUUUAAGGUUAGAGUAACCUAGGAUUUAUUAUUAUUCAGUGAUGUAACCCCAUAAUGGGAGAGAUCUUAUUAUUUAUUUAUAUUGCAUGAUUUGCAUUUAUUUAUGGGUAGAUAGAUGAUGCUUGUACAGUGAACAUCAAAUCCUGUGGAAAUGGAAGUACCGGAUUUUGGGGUGUCACAACUUACAUACUACAGAGUAUGGAAGAAAAUAUUAUUUCUUACGAAUAUUGAACAAAAAUAAUAUCCCUUACCUUAAAGGAGAGUAUUUCUUACUGGUAGUGCGGAGAUAUUCUUGAAGAAAACUUAUACUAUUUUCUACGCUUAAAGCUUCCUUAAACUCUAAAGAAAUACGCUCAAUAUUAUAGAAGAAGAAUUAUCUAAUUCUGGUGUUAUUUUCAAUUCUAAACUAAGCAUCCUAUUUAUAGAAGUAUGACAAGAUACUAUUUGGAUGCACAGUAAGGAAAAAAUCACGGACUGCACAGUAACUUAUUCACGAAUUUCUGACGAAUUUUCUGAUUUUACUAUGCAGCACUAUACAAAUACUAUGCAGACACUAUGCAAAC
rnacentral:lncRNA from 1 species